rnacentral:rRNA from 1 species
ACGGAAGGCAGCAGUGGGGAAUAUUGGGCAAUGGGCGAAAGCCUGACCCAGCAACGCCGCGUGAAGGAAGAAGGUCUUCGGGUUGUAAACUUCUUUUAUGAGGGACGAAGGAAGUGACGGUACCUGAUGAAUAAGUCACGGCUAACUACGUGCCAGCAGCCGCGGUAAUACGUAGGUGGCAAGCGUUAUCCGGAUUUACUGGGUGUAAAGGGCGCGUAGGCGGGGAUGCAAGUCAGAUGUGAAAUCUAUGGGCUUAACCCAUAAACUGCAUUUGAAACUGUGUCCCUUGAGUGCCGGAGAGGUAGAUGGAAUUCCUUGUGUAGCGGUGAAAUGCGUAGAUAUAAGGAAGAACACCAGUGGCGAAGGCGAUCUACUGGACAGUAACUGACGCUGAGGCGCGAAAGCGUGGGGAGCAAACAGGAUUAGAUACCCUGGUA